ACCCUUCUCUAAGGAAUAGCCACUGGAAACGGUGAGUAAUACCUUAUACGCCCUUCGGGGAAAGAUUUAUCGGAGAGGGAUCAGCCCGCGUUAGAUUAGAUAGUUGGUGGGGUAACGGCCUACCAAGUCUACGAUCUAUAGCUGGUUUUAGAGGAUGAUCAGCAACACUGGGACUGAGACACGGCCCAGACUCCUACGGGAGGCAGCAGUGGGGAAUCUUGGACAAUGGGCGCAAGUGAUCCAGCCAUGCCGCGUGAGUGAUGAAGGCCUUAGGGUCGUAAAGCUCUUUCGCCAGGGAUGAUAAUGACAGUACCUGGUAAAGAAACCCCGGCUAACUCCGUGCCAGCAGCCGCGGUAAUACGGAGGGGGUUAGCGUUGUUCGGAAUUACUGGGCGUAAAGCGCGCGUAGGGGAUUGGAAAGUUGGGGGUGAAAUCCCGGGGCUCAACCCCGAACUGCCUCCAAAACUAUCAGUCUAGAGUUCGAGAGAGGUGAGUGGAAUUCCAAGUGUAGAGGUGAAAUUCGUAGAUAUUUGGAGGAACACCAGUGGCGAAGGGGCUCACUGGCUCGAUACUGACGCUGAGGUGCGAAAGUGUGGGGAGCAAACAGGAUUAGAUACCCUGGUAGUCCACACCGUAAACGAUGAAUGCCAGACGUCGGGGGGCUUGCCUUCGGUGUCACACCUAACGGAUUAAGCAUUCCGCCUGGGGAGUACGGUCGCAAGAUUAAAACUCAAAGGAAUUGACGAGGG
rnacentral:rRNA from 1 species